GGCCUGAAGGUCUGUGUGUGUCCAACACUACAUUACAUGUCAUGAGACACAGAUUGUUUUAGUCAUCCACUUUUUUUGUAGCAGCUUGCAUCACGGGAGUUUGAUUCUGAAUCAGACUGGUUUCCCAUUGUAGGAUGUUUCUUUUUAUUAUGAAGUCUGUUAUGUUAUUCAUCACUCUUUAUUGUGGACCAGUAUAGUAUUAUUCAAAAGUGUGUCUUUAAUACGCACCACCGAUAGGUCACAAACCAUUUUUUUUUUCUUUUUAACUAAAUGAAGGAUUGCUAAAUGAAGUAUUCAAUUUUUUUUGUAUCUAAUGUAAAAAAAAAAACAGGUUUUAAAAACAACAUUGUACAGUAAUUUUGUUGCUGCUUUUUUCUGUCAUUUUUGGAAGUUUAUUUUUUCCAGAAGAGAGGAAAAAAGCCAUUUUUCGACAUAAAUAUAUAUAUAUAUAUAAGUGCAAGAAGUCUGCAGCUCCAGGCAGGAAUGAAAUCAUGUAGAGUAUCUUUAUAUAUGAUGAGAAGGAGCUUCUGCUGGUUUAUUUAGUUUUUUCUGCCUUAACAGAUGAAUAUUCACACUGCAGGAGCUAAUGAAGCGCCGCAGAAUCACUCUUUCUGUGCCUUUUUAACCCAUCACUUCUCGUCAGUAUUGUCUCCUCAUGUUUCUCCAUAUGAAGGUGGUUUCGGAGCCAGAAAUGAAGAUUAUUAUUGUAAUAUUUUUGUUUGUUUAUUUGGUUUUGUCUUCUCAGAUGCCAGCAGUACGUUGCAUGGCCUGCUGUUUUAAGAUUGUAAAAAUGCCAUUUACCUGACAAAUAAAUAAAUAAAAUCCUUUUUAUUUAAAAUCACAA